GCCCGGUUGGCACAAUUGGUUAGCGCGUGGGACUUUUAAUCCCAAGGCUGUGGGUUGUAAGUCAACUGUUCGAAUACUACUCUGAACA